rnacentral:ribozyme from 1 species
CGGUAUCCCUGACGAGACUUGCCAGAACUACGAGGCUGUUGAUGGAGAGUGUCACCCUUACGGAAUCUGCGAGACCUGCGACCCAGGUGCUCCACCAAAGCCAUUCUUGCCAGGAACUUGCACCCCA